rnacentral:rRNA from 1 species
CCUACGGGGGACAGCAGUGAGGAAUAUUGGUCAAUGGCCGGAAGGCUGAACCAGCCAUGCCGCGUGAAGGUCAGUGCCCUAUGGGCGUUAAACUUCUUUUGUGCGGGAGCAAUAAUGGUCACGUGUGGCCAGACGAGAGUACCGUACGAAUAAGCAUCGGCUAACUCCGUGCCAGCAGCCGCGGUAAUACGGGGGAUGCAAGCGUUAUCCGGAUUUAUUGGGUUUAAAGGGUGCGUAGGCUGUGAGGUAAGUCAGCGGUGAAAUGCCCCCGCUCAACGGGGUGAAGUGCCAUUGAUACUGGCUGGCUGGAAUGCGGAUGCCGUGGGAGGAAUGUGUGGUGUAGCGGUGAAAUGCAUAGAUAUCACACAGAACACCGAUUGCGAAGGCAUCUCACGAAUCCGCGAUUGACGCUGAUGCACGAAAGCGUGGGUAUCAAACAGGAUUAGAUACCCUUGUAGUC